rnacentral:rRNA from 1 species
CCGUAAAGGGUACCUGCGGAAGGAUCAUUACCACAUAUGCAAUCGGGGGGGCCUCCUUCGGGUGGCCCCUGUCUGAACCCUUGUCUUUUGCGUACCUAUUGUUUCCUCGGCGGGCUUGCCCGCCGGUAGGACAACCAUAAAACCCUUUGUAAUUGCAGUCAGCGUCAGAAAAAAACAUAAUAAUUACAACUUUCAACAACGGAUCUCUUGGUUCUGGCAUCGAUGAAGAACGCAGCGAAAUGCGAAAAGUAGUGUGAAUUGCAGAAUUCAGUGAAUCAUCGAAUCUUUGAACGCACAUUGCGCCCCUUGGUAUUCCAUGGGGCAUGCCUGUUCGAGCGUCAUUUGUACCUUCAAGCACUGCUUGGUGUUGGGUGUCUUGUCCCGCGUUCCGCGUUGGACUCACCUUAAAGUCAUUGGCAGCCGGCAUACUAGCCUUGGAGCGCAGCACAUUUUGCGCCCCUUGACCUGCGUGUUGGCAUCCAUGAAGCCUACAAUUUUUACUCUUGACCUCGGAUCAGGUAGGGAUACCCGCUGAACUUAAGCAUAUCAA